UACGUAGGGCGCAAGCGUUAUCCGGAAUUAUUGGGCGUAAAGAGCUCGUAGGCGGUUUGUCGCGUCUGCCGUGAAAGUCCGAGGCUCAACUUCGGAUCUGCGGUGGGUACGGGCAGACUAGAGUGAUGUAGGGGAGACUGGAAUUCCUGGUGUAGCGGUGAAAUGCGCAGAUAUCAGGAGGAACACCGAUGGCGAAGGCAGGUCUCUGGGCAUUAACUGACGCUGAGGAGCGAAAGCAUGGGGAGCGAACAGG
rnacentral:rRNA from 1 species